rnacentral:rRNA from 1 species
UACGUAGGGACCAAGCGUUGUUCGGAUUUACUGGGCGUAAAGGGCGCGUAGGCGGCGUGGUAAGUCAGUUGUGAAAUCUCUGAGCUUAACUCAGAACGGCCAAGUGAUACUGCUGUGCUAGAGUGCAGAAGGGGCAAUCGGAAUUCUUGGUGUAGCGGUGAAAUGCGUAGAUAUCAAGAGGAACACCUGAGGUGAAGACGGGUUGCUGGGCUGACACUGACGCUGAGGCGCGAAAGCGUGGGGAGCGAACAGG